rnacentral:rRNA from 1 species
UUCGGGUUGUAAACCUCUUUUAGCAGGGNAAGAAGCGAAAGUGACGGUACCUGCAGAAAAAGCACCGGCUAACUACGUGCCAGCAGCCGCGGUAAUACGUAGGGUGCAAGCGUUAUCCGGAAUUAUUGGGCGUAAAGAGCUCGUAGGCGGUUUGUCGCGUCUGCUGUGAAAUCUGGGGGCUCAACCCCCAGCCUGCAGUGGGUACGGGCAGACUAGAGUGCGGUAGGGGAGAUUGGAAUUCCUGGUGUAGCGGUGGAAUGCGCAGAUAUCAGGAGGAACACCGAUGGCGAAGGCAGAUCUCUGGGCCGUAACUGACGCUGAGGAGCGAAAGGGUGGGGAGCAAACAGGAUUAGAUACCCUGGUAGUCCAAGGGCGAA